rnacentral:lncRNA from 10 species
GACAGAGUCUCGCUCUGUCCAGUGGCACAAUCUCUGCUCACUGCAACCUCCACCUCCCUGUUCAAGCGAUUCUCAUGCGUCAGCCUUCCGAGUAGCUGGGACUACAGACACACAUAAGAUGUUACAGCUCUUUGAAGUCAUUCCCAUAGUCUUCUAAUGCAACAAGUCAUUGUCACUAAUUCAACUGAAAAGGUCUGCUUAACAUAAGGUUUGCAGCCAAGCGCGGCCACUCAUGCCUGUAAUCCCAGCACUUUGGGAGGCCGAGGCGGGCGGAUCAUGAGAUCAGGAGAUUGAGACCAUCCCGGCUAACACAGUGAAACCCCGUCUCUACUGAAAAUAGAAAAAAUUAACUGGGUGCGGUGGCGGGUGCCUGUAGUCCCAGUUACUUGGGAGGCUGAGGCAGGAGAAUGGCGUGAACCUGGGAGGUGGAGCUUGCAGUGAGCCAGGAUCGCGCCACUGCACUCCAGCCUGGGUGACAGAGCGAGACUCCAUCUCAAAAAAUAAUAAUAAUAAAAUAAAAUAAGGUUUGCAUAUUGGUUAUAAGCAUUUUCUCACAUCAGUCUAA